rnacentral:rRNA from 1 species
AGAGUUUGAUCCUGGCUCAGGACGAACGCUGGCGGCGUGCUUAACACAUGCAAGUCGAGCGGUAAGGCCCUUUCGGGGGUACACGAGCGGCGAACGGGUGAGUAACACGUGAGUAAUCUGCCCUUCACUUCGGGAUAACCAUCGGAAACGGUGGCUAAUACCGGAUAUGACCAAGUCUUGCAUGAGAUCUUGGUGGAAAGUUUUUUCGGUGGAGGAUGUGCUCGCGGCCUAUCAGCUUGUUGGUGAGGUAACGGCUCACCCAAGGCUUCGACGGGGUAGCCGGCCUGAGAGGGUGACCGGCCACACUGGGACUGAGACACGGCCCAGACUCCUACGGGAGGCAGCAGUGGGGAAUAUUGGACAAUGGGCGAAAGCCUGAUCCAGCAACGCCGCGUGAGGGAUGACGGCCUUCGGGUUGUAAACCUCUUUCAGCACCGACGAAGCGCCUUUAACGGUGGUGACGGUAGGUGCAGAAGAAGGACCGGCCAACUACGUG